rnacentral:rRNA from 1 species
ACGAACGCUGGCGGCGUGCCUAAUACAUGCAAGUCGAGCGGAAUGAUGAAGAAGCUUGCUUCUUCUGAUUUUAGCGGCGGACGGGUGAGUAACACGUGGGCAACCUACCUUGUAGAUUGGGAUAACUCCGGGAAACCGGGGCUAAUACCGAAUAAUCCAUUUUGCUUCAUGGCGAGAUGUUGAAAGACGGUUUCGGCUGUCACUACAAGAUGGGCCCGCGGCGCAUUAGCUAGUUGGUAGGGUAAUGGCCUACCAAGGCGACGAUGCGUAGCCGACCUGAGAGGGUGAUCGGCCACACUGGGACUGAGACACGGCCCAGACUCCUACGGGAGGCAGCAGUAGGGAAUCUUCCACAAUGGACGAAAGUCUGAUGGAGCAACGCCGCGUGAGUGAAGAAGGUUUUCGGAUUGUAAAACUCUGUUGUAAGGGAAGAACACGUACGAGAGUAACUGCUCGUACCUUGACGGUACCUUAUUAGAAAGCCACGGCUAACUACGUG